AGAGUUUGAUCCUGGCUCAGGACGAACGCUGGCGGCGUGCCUAACACAUGCAAGUCGAACGAGGUUCUAGAGUAGCUUGCUAUUCGAACGACCUAGUGGCGCACGGGUGAGUAACACGUGGGCAAUCUACCCGGAAGUCUGGGAUAACAGCUCGAAAGGGCUGCUAAUACCGGAUACUUUCACGAGAACACAUGUUUUUGUGAAGAAAGUUUUUUCGCUUCCGGAUGAGCCCGCGUCCCAUUAGCUAAUUGGUGAGGUAACGGCCCACCAAGGCUACGAUGGGUAGCUGGUCUGAGAGGACGAUCAGCCACACUGGAACUGAGACACGGUCCAGACUCCUACGGGAGGCAGCAGUGGGGAAUCUUGCGCAAUGGGCGAAAGCCUGACGCAGCAACGCCGCGUGAACGAUGAAGGCCUUAGGGUCGUAAAGUUCUGUCAAGGGGGAAGAAGAUCUGACGGUACCCCUGGAGGAAGCUCCGGCUAACUACGUGCCAGCCGCCGCGGUAAUUC
rnacentral:rRNA from 1 species